UACGGAGGGGGCUAGCGUUGUUCGGAAUUACUGGGCGUAAAGCGCACGUAGGCGGACUGUUAAGUCGGGGGUGAAAUCCUGGGGCUCAACCUCAGAAUUGCCUCCGAUACUGGCAUUCUCGAGUGCGGGAGAGGUGAGUGGAAUUCCCAGUGUAGAGGUGAAAUUCGUAGAUAUUGGGAAGAACACCAGUGGCGAAGGCGGCUCACUGGCCCGUAACUGACGCUGAGGUGCGAAAGCGUGGGGAGCAAACAGG
rnacentral:rRNA from 1 species